UCCACUCCUAGAGGGUUUGCAGUUGUGGCUGCUAUGUCACAUGUGCAUCGGUAGGUAGUAGAGAAGAGAGAGCCUAUGUCUAUGUUCAGUGUUCUGACCUAUGAACAUCUGAAUUAUCAGUAGCCUAGCAUU
rnacentral:snoRNA from 1 species